CCGGCGGAACCGAAAGCUCGUGCGCCGGUCGCUGUCGCAGGCGGUCGGGCCCGGUUGCGGCCGUUUAGCCGGCGCGCGAAAUCGGGGGUGACAACAAUCGGUGCCAUCGACCAGACUGGCGUUGGCGGAGGGCGGGAUCAGCCGGCACCGGGCUUCCGAGGCUGUCAGUCACUCGGCGCCGUGUCUGCCACCGCGCUGCAGCUGCCAGUUAGCGUAGCGCACGCGCUCAGCACACCCGGUGAGCCGCCAGCAUCCGUGGAUUUUACGUUGCACCGCCAUAUUGGAGAAGGCAUGCGAGUGCUGGACCAGGGCUCAGUGUGACAGUUACAUCUCAGAGAAUUUCUAUAACUACAGUAUUUCUUGUCACGUGACUUGUCAGUCGUCAUUCAAAAGUUAAAUCUUGAAUUGAUGGGGACAUUUUGUCUUCGUCGUCCAUAGAAGAAGCUGGAAGUUGACAAUAAAAAAAAACCUUUAAAUUUUAUGUGUAAAAUAACUGAUUUUCUAAAAACUAAAAAGGUCUUAGUGUUUGUGACUCUCUUUCCUUCUCACUACAUGGACGAGUCUUUGCAACCAGGCAACCAGAUUUAUUAUUAUUCAUUUUUCACAUCAUCGCUCCAGUUUUAGGAUGUGUGUUUACUUCUUGUUUUAAAGAGUUUCUGAGUUGUACCCGCGCUUGCUGUGACUCACGGGCGCUUUGAUCUGACACAGAUGCCAUUUAAUGAAGAUAACCGAAGUCGCAGUUCAUUAUGGAUACUUGAUUUUGGCUUUAGGCUAGCAACCAAGGAUGCACAGUAGGACGCUGAGGACAACUUCACUGAACGCUGAGCCUCCACCCAUCCGGCAACACAGGCAGAAAAGGGAGAACGAGAGGGAGGACGGAGAGAAAAGGGAGGCAAAGGAGGGAGCCACUGGGGGCCCCUGCCAUGUGAGGAGGAGGAGGAGGAGGGAUGAUGCUGGUGCAGAGGAGUGAAAGAGAGAGGAGACUGAUUAAGGGUGAGGAAAAGAGAGAGAGAGAAUGAUGAAGAUUGUCCACAGCCCCUGAUUCCUGGCCAGAUCUCACAGAUGCCUGAUGCAAAGUCUUUCAUCAAUGCUAAUUUGACUGCUUUAAAACUUCAAAGGACAAUAACACUUCUAAUGUCGAUUCAGUGUUAGUGUGCUGGCGUAUCAGUGCGCAUGUGAGUUUACCUUGUUCAGUGCACAGUGAUAUAUAGUCUCUCAGAAGUGAGGUUCAAACAAUAUUUAGUGGUAAAAAGAUCCUGAAUUGCUGUUUAUGAACACAGGUUUCCUAAAGUGUGUUAAUCCGUUACAUUGUUUGUGUAUUUGUGUCUGAUUUAUUCCGGGUAGAAAUAUAUUGUCC
rnacentral:lncRNA from 1 species